ACUUUUUUCUUUUUUUCUUUUUUUGCUUCUUUGCUUUUUAGGGCCACACCUGUGGCAUACAGAAGUUCCCAAGCCAGGGAUUGAAUCCAAGCUGCAGCUGCCAACCUAUGCCACAGCCACAGAAAUGUGGGAUCCAGGCUACGUCCAUGACCUACACCGCAGCUCACAGCAACAUCCUUAACCCACUGAGUGGGGGGAUUGAAACCACAUCCUCAUGGAUACUAGUCAGGUUCGUAACUUGCUGAGCCACAAUGGGAACUCCCUAUUUACUAAUUUUUAAAACAGUUUUAAGUAUCUGGGAAAGUACAGCUUGUUUAAAAUUUACAUUCACUCCAUAAUGCAUAUAAAAUACUAAAAAAUAAAAUCCAGGAUAAUUAAUGUAUAAAUAUAAGGAAUGUAAUUAAGUAGCAGUAGUAGUACUACUAACAGCUAACAUUCAAAGAGCACUGUCCUAGUGCCCAACACUGUUCCAAGAACUUCACAGUAUAAACUCAUUAAUUCAACAAAUAAUCACUGAGAAUCUACCAUGAACUAGGCCUUUUUCAAGCUAAGAAUUAAAUCAGUGAACAAAACAUAAUUUCAACCUCGUUGAAUCUUAUAUUUUAACAAGAGACAGGUAUGAUAAUUAUUGCGAAGAAAAAUAAAACACGGGAAAGCGAAAAGAAAAGGUGGUAUUUUAGAUGGUAUAAUGAGAGUCACACCAGUAAGCAUCAUUCACAGUGAAGUCUAUGUAACUGAUGUCCCUUGAAAACUCAUCAGGGAAAAUGUCUCCACACUAGCUGACAUUUGAACCCAAAAAGCGAGAGAGCAAGUCAUGUUAAUAUAUGAGUAUUAAAAGAAAACAAAAGUACAAAAAGUACUAGAGCCAUUUUACCUGGAAAGGGUUUUUAAAGGGAGAUUUAAUCUGUUCAACUUUGAUUACUAUGUAUUAGUAGUAAUCAGUGUCAUCCCUCACCCAACCCAGAAAAAUUAAAAUACUCUUUUUUUGUGGGAGGGGCACACCUGCAGAAUAUGGAAGUUCCCAGCCUAGGGAUCCAAUCAGACUGGCCUACGCCACAGCCACAGCAACGUGGGAUCCAAGCCACAUCUACAACCUACACCACAGUUCAUGGCAUCGCCAAAUCCUUAAUACACUGAGCAGGGUCAGGGAUUGAACCUGCAUCCUCAGAGAUACUAGGAGGAUUUGUUUCUGCUGAGCCAUGACGGGAACUGCCCAAAAUAUUCCUAAUCUAUAUGAAACUUGCUAUAUUUAUUAACAGAAUAUUAAAAUGUAAAAGUUCAGAGUUCCUGUCGUGGCACAGUGGUUAACGAAUCCGACUAGGAACCAUUAGGUUGCGGGUUCGAUCCCUGCACUUUUUGCAAACUUUAACUCAUUCAGAGCUCUAGCCUCCCCACAUUCUUAAUGACACCAGACUUUUCUGUAUUAACCAUCAGUUAUUCACCAUUAGUAAAUGUGGGUAUCCUUGAUAUGUUUUCUUUUGAAGUUUAUUAGAAAUUACUUAGGUGGAAAUUACAGUAUUUUCUCUAGUUGCCUCAUAAUUUUUCUACCAUCUGUGGAAAUUUCUUCAUACUUUUAAUAACUUUUUCUUUUUAAUGGCUGCAUCCAUGGCAUUCCCAGGCCAGGAACUGAAUCUGAGCCACAGGUGCAACCUACUCCACAGCUGCAGCCAACACCAGAUCCUUUAAACCACUGUGCCAGGCUAGGGAUUGAACUCACACCUGCACAGCAACCUCAGCCACUGCAGUCGGAUUCUUAAUCCACUACACCACAGCAUAACUCCAAAAUGUUUCAUUUUUAAAUGCCUUCUAUCAAUAUUGAUUGAUAAUACCAUCUGUGGUCAUUACCAAUCUUUUUUUAAAUUUUUUUUCUUUUUAAGGCCGCACCUAUGGCAUAUGGAAGUUUCCAGUCUAGGGGACCAAUCAGAGCUACAGCUGCCAGCCUAUGCCACAGCCACAGCAAUGCCAAACCCCCAAACCACAUCUGCAACCUACACAGCAGCCUGCAGCAACACCGGAUCCUUCACCACUUAGCAAGGCCAGGAAUGGAACCUAUAUCCUUAUGGAUACUAGUCAGGUUCUUAACCUGAUGAGCCACAAUAGGAACUCCUAUCAAUCUUUUUUCUGAAUUUUCUGAAACCCACUUUUUUGUGAAUUCCUCUAAUAACAUAAAAUCCAAUGUGACACAGUCACUAAUUUUUGAUUCCCAUUAUUUCCAUUUUCAUCUAGGAGACAAAGAAUAGUGCUUUGGAAAAAGCAUGAGGAGCUUGGAAGUCUGACAGAUAUUUGUCACUUAGCAGUUUUGUGUUACAAACUUCUCUGUGCCACAAUUUUGGCAUCAACGAAAUAACAAAUAGUAUUUACUGAGCACCUAUUUUAUAUCAAGUACAUUACAGACUCUACAUAAGUAGAAAGUACUAUAUCAUUUAUAUUGAGGAAAACUAGGGCUUCAUAUAAGCAACUUGCUUCAAAAGUUACAGAGCUCGAGUGCUAGAGCGAGAAUUUAAAUCCAGAUCUGAUUCCAAACCCAUGUUCACAAAGGAGAGACCAUAAAAUGGGCCCACAUGCCCAAAACAAAUGUUCAGUAAUGAUUAACCCCAUUUGUCCCUCUCUGCUCUUCCUUGCUGGUCAGAAUCAAUUUCAUACUAGCAAUUCUCACCAACAUUCAGAAGAUUAACCUCUCAGCAAAUAAUUUAUCAAAAAGCUCUAAUAAGCUUUAUUAUUAAUGUAUUUUUAAUUAAUCUACUUAGUAAAAAGUAAAAACUCUUAUCACAUUAUGCCGAACAUAAUUUUCAGGGAUUUUUGUGUUAAAGGAGCCUUACAUGCAAUCAUAAAAGCCCAGGGUUAGAGACAUUAAAAGUCUAGCAAAAAAUAAAAAAAUAAAAACAAAGUAGCUGAACUACUUUAUUCAGCAUAAUGUGUUACUCCACCUCAAAAUUCUUAAAACAUACCAUGUAGAGAAAAAGCUUCUUUAAAAAAAGAACUAUCAGAGUUCCCGUUGUCGUGCAGCAGUUAACGAACCUGACUAGGAACCCAUGAUAUGGGUUCAAUUCCUGGCCUCACUCAGUGCGCUAAGGAUCCGCCAUUGCCAUGAGCUGUGGUGUAGGUCACAGGCACAGCUCAGAUCCAGCGUUGUUGUGGCUGUGGUUGAGGCCAGCAGCUGUAGCUCCAAUUCAACCCCUAGCCUGGGACCUCCAUAUGCCACAGGUGUGGCCCUAAAAAAAGAGGGGGGGACCACCUAUCAUUCUUGAAAGGUAUUCAGAUCAAUACAAAUGCUAACUGUAAUCUUCCAGAAAGCAAGCAACUUCACCCAACAGAGAACCCUGUAUUUCUCAAUAUCAUCAGAGAACUAUUUCUCUUAAUUAUCUUUUCUUUCUCUUUUCCUCAUUCCGUCUUCAUACAUGAGAUUGUGAAUAGCCAAUUAAGUGAAUGAAAGAAUGUUUCUUAGGUCUAAACACUACCAUUCACAUCACUUUAAAUCCUGCCAAUCAAGUAAACUGAUCUGAGCGAACAGAAAUUAAACUAAAAUACUAAUUUUUUUUCCAUUUCUUACAAGUAGAAAAAAAAAAAAAAAAAAAGCUCAUGGAUUAAGACUUAUAGGUAGGUUUUUACUACUAAAUUGUAGUAUGGUAUUACAUUGAAGGACUUCUAAAAUGCACCAGCUGAACUUUUUUAAAAAUAAGCUGAAGAUGAGUGACAAAAAAAAGCAAAAGAAAUCUCUUUUGGAUUGAUGGAAAUGUUCUUAAAACUGGACUGUGGGAAUGGCUGCACAACACCGUAAAUUUACUAAAAAUCACUGCAUUGUACAUUUUUUUUUAGAUAUGACCCAGAACCCCUCUCAAAAUAACCUCCUAGGAGUUGUCAUCAUGGCUCAGUGGUUAACGAAUCCAACUAGGAACCAUGAGGUUUCGGGUUCGGUCCCUGGCC
rnacentral:lncRNA from 1 species